rnacentral:rRNA from 1 species
GACGAACGCUGGCGGCGGGCUUAACACAUGCAAGUCGAACGGAAAGGCCCUGCUUUUGUGGGGUGCUCGAGUGGCGAACGGGUGAGUAACACGUGAGUAACCUGCCCUUGACUUUGGGAUAACUUCAGGAAACUGGGGCUAAUACCGGAUAGGAGCUCCUGCUGCAUGGUGGGGGUUGGAAAGGUUCGGCGGUUGGGGAUGGACUCGCGGCUUAUCAGCUUGUUGGUGGGGUAGUGGCUUACCAAGGCUUUGACGGGUAGCCGGCCUGAGAGGGUGACCGGCCACAUUGGGACUGAGAUACGGCCCAGACUCCUACGGGAGGCAGCAGUGGGGAAUAUUGCACAAUGGGCGGAAGCCUGAUGCAGCAACGCCGCGUGCGGGAUGACGGCCUUCGGGUUGUAAACCGCUUUCGCCUGUGACGAAGCGUGAGUGACGGUAAUGGGUAAAGAAGCACCGGCUAACUACGUG